rnacentral:tRNA from 1 species
GGAGGCAUAGCUCAGCUGGUUAGAGUGUACGGUUCACAUCCGUAAGGUCGAGGGUUCGAGCCCCCCUGUCUCCACCA